AGUAUUGACGAAUACUACCGUAGAAGUAUUCAGGUCUCAUAACUACGGAUA
rfam:Listeria phage B025, complete genome.